GCCCCGGUAGCUCAGUGGAUAGAGCAGUCCCCUCCUAAGGGACAGGUCGGACGUUCGAUUCGUCUUCGGGGCGCCA
rnacentral:tRNA from 1 species